AUUAUAAGUUUUGUAUGUAUUCUUCCGCCCGCUUACCUUCUUCCAGUAACCAUUCUAUUUUUUCUUCACAGGCUUCUUCAAACUCUUUUGCACAUUUAGCAUACAUAAAUUUAAUCCACUGCUCAACGGUCAUAUCCAGUUCUUUUUCACUUAGUUUGUUUGGCUCUACAGGAUUCGGUACUGGAGAUUCUAAUAGACUCGAGAAAUCUAUGGGUUCCCAUGGUGGUGCAUUUGCUUCAACUAAGGGCAAAGCAUGUUUUGAUUUGACAGGAGUUUGAGGAGCCAAAAAUGAAGAUUGGCACAAUGGAUCAAAUGGACUGAUCGAAUGGUCAUAGUAGGAUUCAUCUAAAGGCUUCCGGACACUUGGCAAAUUUAUACUCGUUACUUCUUUCUCAGCGUAAGUUUUAGCGAAAGCUGAAGAGGUUUCACAAGAACCAGGUGAAGUUUCAACAUCCUUUUUACUUACAUUAUCGAUUUUAUCUACCUUCGUUUCCUUCUCAGGUGUAUUUUUCGACACUGAUCUAGUACCAUUCUGUACAGAAGUCCUAGAAUUUUUGAUUUCUUGAUCAGGAAAAGCAUCACUUAACGAGACUUUGUCUACCUCAGUCAAUUUUUCUUCAAUCUUUUCAAUAUUUUCUAAUUCAUGGUUGGCCUCCUUUUCUUGCAAUUUAUCAGAAGUUUCUGUAUUAACAGCUUCAACGGUUUGAUUGUUCUUGCUCUGUAGCUUAGGAGAAUUAAUGUCAUCUUCUUGAAAUGUCACUUUUUCGGAGUUUCCGACGUUUCUGUCAGGAAGAUCCUUUAAGUAACUUCCUGAUUCAAGUUCAUUGGGUUGUACGAUCGGCUGGGGAUCCAGGCUUGAAUGAACAUUCAUGACAGUAUGACCAGAAUUAGCUUCCUCAUGAUUAACAUUUUCACUUUUUUCAUCGGAAACAGGACUUGAUACGUCUCUCGUCUUGGUCACUCCUCUAUCUAUAGAAACUCUAACCGUUUGGGACUCAUCGCAAAUGGCCUUUCUUUUUUCCUCAGGAAGCACUUCGCUAAUUUCAGUUUUUGGUUUUUCUAUAAAGUCCACUAUUGAUGUAUCAAACUUUGUUUUUGAUGUUGAGGUACUUUUUCCCUUCUCUAAAACUCCGCUUACAAGAUUAUCCUUCCUUUUAAUUGCUAAGAGAGGAAUUAGAUCAAUUAAAGGUUUGUCAUCAUUUUCAGAUUCAGAAAGCAAUUGUAGUGACUGUUCAGACUCCAUACUCUUAUUCUCAAGAUCCUCAAAUUUACUAACGUGAAUGGCAGUUUGGCUGUCCUCUGUAACUUUUACUGGUUCAUGUGAAUCCUCAGUAGACGAAACUAAAAUGUUUUUAGAUUGUAAAACUUCUUGAAAUUUUCUCUUCUUUUCAGGAAUUGGUAUUUUCAAAUUGGUCUCGUCAUUUUCAUCAUUUGCUUCUUCCGAGUUUCUCUUUUUUGAAAUGUUGCUAAACGAAUCUAUUGUACUCCUUGGUGAAAAAUUGGUUUGUAAUAUUUUAUCUCUGAAGCUUGAAGAAGACACUCUACCUCCUGUUGCAGCAUCAGUCAUAUCGGGAGAUGAAGUUGAUGGCUUUGAAGAGAUUGGUUGUUUUGUGGACUCCUCUAUGAACGAACCUUGAAGAUUUAAAUGCUCAUCUUCUUUUUCAACCUUCUGCUGUUCCGGAGUUUCGAUAGCAACUUGUUUUUCUGUAUGAUUUUGCUCUUUACCAACAGAAGAAACAGAAGACGAAAUUUCCUUUGAUUUGGAAACCACAGAUAUUUCUUCUUCAAUUUUUGAUUCGAUUUCAAUUUUCGGCGGCGUAGACAUACAAUUAUUUUGCUCAUCACUUUCAUCAGUUACAGAUUGAUGUCCAGUUAUGUCAGAAACAGUUGUGUGGACGGAUGUAGCUGGUGAUACAAGAUGUUCCAGCUCAUUAUCUUUUUCAUCUUCUUUAAGUGGAAUUUCUUCUGUAAAAUUCUUUUUGGCUACUUGCAUAGAGUCAUUACAUAUCCCUUUAGAGAAGGGUUGAGAGGCGGUCAAGUCGUCGUCAUCUUCGUCUUCAUCAGAAAAAAUUGGCUUAACAGGUUUAAAGACUGCUGGCUUUGAUUUUUUUGGAGAUUUAUUUUUUCGCCUUGGAGCCGUAAGUAAAACGGGCUUCGUUGGACUUUGUGGUGCACGGGUGGGUUGUGAGUCUUUCUCCUCAGAGGUAUUAGUAUAAAGGGACAUUGUUAAAGGACGUGCAUUAAGAUUAUUCUUUCUACUAGGGGAGAAAUUUAAAGUUUUAUGAGAUUUUGUUGAAUCUCGGGUGGGAGAAACGGGAAGAAUGGAAUUAUCCUCGGUCAAGUCUUCAGGGUCAAUGUUCGACGUAGAUAAAAAAGACAGUUUAGUAGGAGAUAAGCUAUUUGGGUCUUUCCAUGUAAAAAACACACAGUCCGCACGACGGCGUUUGUGCUCGGUGUAAGGGUCAUCAUCCGGUUCCCAAUCAUGAAGAUUAAUAUCACAAUAUAAGCAAUGAGCUGCAUCUUUAGCAUCAGCAGUUGGAUUGUAUACAAAACCAGAAGCAGCCAUUACACUCGGCUCACAGUGAUAAUCAGGGCGAUUGGUAUACGGCCAUACUUUAUCAACAAAAGUUUGUUCUCGACAUUUUGUGAGAGCUGCAGCUUGGGGGUUCUGGUUUGGAUUGUUUUUUGAGGAUAAAAUAUAUGCCCAUGGACAGCUGGGGCUAUGAGUAAUAUGCUCUUUCAAUGGAUCAUCAUCAUCCUCCCAGUCAUAAAAUGACUUGGUACACAUAUAGCAUGUAACAUUAUCAAGUCUUUCUUCAGAAUUAGAUUCAGAGAUUGGAUUGUAAUAGAAACCGACAGUAGCAAGCUAUUUUCUUGUUAGCAACACAGAUGAAAACUCUAUCGUCAACAUACAGUUUCUGGCGUCGGUUUGGCUCGCGGCCAUUUUUUUUUCUGGAAAGUGUCAAGUCGUUUAGAGUAAUUACACAUUUCCCUUCGAAACCGAUUCCAUCGGCGUUUAGAAGAAGACGUUAUCGGUUUCAUUCUGAGCAAGCUUCAACAAGUGAAAUUUAGAUACCAAAUUUCGACUUCCGAUCCUUAAAACUAUAAAAUUAAUUUUUUUAAAACUUCUGGUUAUUGUCUUUAGACAAUAUCAGAUACUUCCAAAUGCAUAGGAUAGGGAAGGUCGCCUCGCAAGGCGUAUAUGGGUAAUGUUUACUUUUUGUAGAUUGCUAGGGCACACGAGUUUACUGUAAUUGAACAAUGUCGUUAUAUUGCGUAAAAUGUCGUUAAGUAGUAUAGCAGACUUUAAUAAAUGGAAGGUUCACUGGUUACAAAUUUUUCGAGAUGACUAGGUUUAGAUAUUAUAUUGAGUAAGGAAGAUUCAAUUAUUGUCUUUAAUGUCAGCCUUAUGAUCUUUGUUAAUAAAUUCAAAAUUUAACUAGAAGAUUUUUGCUAGCACAAAGUAAUGUAUCAUAGUUUGGUACUAAUAUUGUUACAUAUAAUAAUAUUAAAGCUCCAACUCUAAAGUAUGGAGCAUCGUGAAAGAAGAAUAAGGCUACAUUUUCAUGGCUAUUCAAAGGAAACUAUGCAUAUCAACAAGACAAAUCUGAUUUCAUUUUCCUCUUUCGAUGCGAUGGUCAAAGUUAUGAAUACAAUGAUGAAUCAGCUGUCUCAUUAGAAAAAAGUUGAAAAGAGGAUGACAAAUGCGGUGGAAAUAUUGAACUUCCUAAAACCUCAAAUAAAAGUUAAGCAAUAGAGGAAGUACAAUCAUGAAGACAAUGUAAAAUAAAUUAAUUGAAUUAGUCCCAUGUUGUUUCAAAGGUACAAAACCUGUAUCUAGUAGUGGAGCAGCCAAAAGCUACAACUAAAUCGACAACAAAGACCAAAACUGUUGAAUGAUUCCUGUGUUUCGUCAAUAAAACAAAUAAUAAACUCACAAAAUAACCACGAUCUAUAAACCAUUCGUUGGUUAGAAAGUGAAUGAAAAAAAGUAAACAAAAGUUCGUUUCGACACGCACACUCAGGACGGACUUGAGAAAUAAUUUAACAAGUACAAGAUGUUCAACUUUCCAGCACAAUCAUUAAACAACAAUAUAACAAAAUG